rnacentral:rRNA from 1 species
ACGGAAGGCAGCAGUGGGGAAUAUUGGGCAAUGGGGGCAACCCUGACCCAGCAACGCCGCGUGAAGGAAGAAGGCUUUCGGGUUGUAAACUUCUUUGACGAGGGACGAUAAUGACGGUACCUCGAAAACAAGCCACGGCUAACUACGUGCCAGCAGCCGCGGUAAUACGUAGGUGACAAGCGUUAUCCGGAUUUACUGGGUGUAAAGGGCGUGUAGGCGGUUUGGCAAGUCAGAAGUGAAAUUCCCGGGCUUAACUUGGGCGCUGCUUCUGAAACUGCUUAACUUGAGUACUGGAGAGGAUAGUGGAAUUCCUAGUGUAGCGGUAAAAUGCACAGAUAUUAGGAGGAACACCGGUGGCGAAGGCGGCUAUCUGGACAGUAACUGACGCUGAGGCGCGAAAGCACGGGGAGCAAACAGGAUUAGAUACCCUGGUA